rnacentral:lncRNA from 1 species
ACAUUUGAAAUAUGUUACAAUCUUCAAUUAGCAUAGCAAGCCAAAACAAAGCAACUGACAAGCAAACUUAACCAAAUCCCUAAUUGCAAAAAUCUCACUUCACCAAAUACUUUAUCUUUACACAAAAUAAUCUCAUUAGACAUUUUGUAAUGAAAUGAAAACUAGAAUACACACAUAUUAUAGACCCAAGCUGCCUUAACAUUCAUGCAAC